rnacentral:rRNA from 1 species
GACGAACGCUGGCGGCGUGCUUAACACAUGCAAGUCGAACGGAAAGGCCCUGCUUUUGUGGGGUGCUCGAGUGGCGAACGGGUGAGUAACACGUGAGUAACCUGCCCUUGACUUUGGGAUAACUUCAGGAAACUGGGGCUAAUACCGGAUAGGAGCUCCUGCUGCAUGGUGGGGGUUGGAAAGUUUCGGCGGUUGGGGAUGGACUCGCGGCUUAUCAGCUUGUUGGUGGGGUAGUGGCUUACCAAGGCUUUGAAGGGUAGCCGGCCUGGGAGGGUGACCGGCGACAUUGGGACUGAGAUACGGCCCAGACUCCUACGGGAGGCAGCAGGGGAGAAUAUUGCACAAUGGGCGGAAGCCUGAUGCAGCAACGCCGCGUGCGGGAUGACGGCCUUCGGGUUGUAAACCGCUUUCGCCUGUGACGAAGCGUGAGUGACGGUAAUGGGUAAAGAAGCACCGGCUAACUACGUG